AGGGUUUGAUCAUGGCUCAGGACGAACGCUGGCGGCGUGCUUAACACAUGCAAGUCGAGGGCGUGGAGCAAUCCACGACCGGCGAACGGGUGCGUAACACGUGAGCAACCUGCCCGCCUGUGGGGGAUAGCCGGCCCAACGGCCGGGUAAUUCCGCAUACGCUUCUCUGGUCGCAUGGCUAGGGAAGGAAAGCCGCAAGGCGCAGGUGGAGGGGCUCGCGGCCUAUCAGCUAGUUGGUGGGGUAACGGCUCACCAAGGCUACGACGGGUAGCUGGUCUGAGAGGAUGGCCAGCCACAUUGGGACUGGGAUACGGCCCAGACUCCUACGGGAGGCAGCAGUGGGGAAUCUUGCGCAAUGGCCGAAAGGCUGACGCAGCGACGCCGCGUGGAGGAUGAAGCCCUUCGGGGUGUAAACUCCUGUCACCUGGGACGAAACUCGGGUUUUGGCCUGACUGACGGUACCGGGUGAGGAAGCACCGGCUAACUCUGUGCCAGCAGCCGCGGUAAUACAGAGGGUGCGAGCGUUGUCCGGAAUCACUGGGCGUAAAGGGCGCGUAGGCGGCUUGCUGCGCGUGCGGUGAAAGCCCGGGGCUCAACCCCGGGUCUGCCGUGCGAACGAGCGAGCUAGAGUCCGGUAGAGGCCGAUGGAAUUCCGGGUGUAGCGGUGGAAUGCGUAGAGAUCCGGAAGAACACCGGUGGCGAAGGCGGUCGGCUGGGCCGGUACUGACGCUGAGGCGCGAAAGCGUGGGGAGCAAACAGGAUUAGAUACCCUGGUAGUCCACGCUGUAAACGAUGGGCACUAGAUCCUUGGGGGAGCGACCCCCUGGGGGUCGGCGCUAACGCAUUAAGUGCCCCGCCCUGGGGAGUACGGCCGCAAGGCUGAAACUCAAAGGAAUUGACGGGGG
rnacentral:rRNA from 1 species